CCACGCAGCCAUCUUUCAGACCGCAUCGAACUCCUCCUUUCCGCCGCCGCCGCCUCCGCCGCAGCCAUUCAUGGCGAGGCGCCGCCGGGGAGGAUUCGAACAUUAAUCCAUGCUAUUCCCCACCCGUCCCUGUAAAUCCCAAGCUCCUGCCGCCGUAGCUGCUAUCUGCAGCCUCCGCCCCUCCUCCUCAUCGCCGGCGCUUAUUCCUCCCCCGUAUCACGACGACAACCCAUUCGCCUCACUACUCACUUCCGAUCCCCCUCCGCCGGAUCCGCUCCGCCAGGUUCUCGCCACGGGAGACGUCCACGGCGCGCUCCGCGGCCUCCCUGGCCUCGCUCGCCAGCUGUUCCGGUGGGCGGAGGGCACCCCGCACGGUUUCCCCCGCUCCGCCUCCGCAUUCGCCGCCGUCCUUGUCCCGCUCGCUGAGGCCAGGCACAACGGCUCCGCUUAUCCCGUCUCCCUCCGCGCUAUCCAGGCUGGCCUUCUCCUUCCCCUCAUCUCUCUCCUCCUCACGUAUCCCCUGUCCCCCUCCUCCCACCACCUCCUCAACUUCCUCUUACGCAUGUCCACCAAGUUUGUGCCCGAAUGCCAAGCUCAGGACCCUGCGCUCACCAGCUGUUCGACGCAAUGCCUUUCCGCCUUCCAAGAGAUGGCGCGUCAAGGUGUCGCCCCUUACGUCAAGGUGUGCAACUGCGUGCUCUCUGUGCUGUGCGACGCAGCCAGGUGGGACGACAUGCGUGCUGUGUAUUCAGAUAUGCUUCAGCUUGGGGUUGAGCCAUCCAUUGUCACAUACAAUACACUGCUGGAUUCUUUUUGUAAGGCAGGGAGGAUCGAUCAGGCUGUCAUGCUGCUCAAGGAUAUGGAGGCCCAAGUUGCUGGGUGCUUGCCGAAUGAUGUCACCUAUAAUGUGGUGAUCAGUGGGCUGGCCAGGAACGGUGAGCUGGACAAGGCGGCUCAACUGGUUGACAGAAUGCGGUUGUCCAAACAAGCGUCAGCCUUCACAUAUAAUCCACUUAUCAGUGGGUUGUUAGCAAGGGGUUUUGUUGAAAAGGCUGAUGCUUUGCAGCAGGAGAUGCAGAAUGAUGGCAUUGUGCCAACGGUGGUGACAUACAAUACAUUGAUUCAUGGGUUAUUUAAAAGAGGGAACGGGGAGGCGGCAGAGUUGAAAUUUCUGGAAAUGAGGGCAAUGGGGUUGCAGCCAGAUUUGAUUACUUACAAUUCCUUGAUAAAUGGACAUUGUAAGGCAUGUAAUUUGAAGCAGGCACUUUGGUUGCUUGGUGAUUUGAGACGUGCAGGGCUAGCACCAACAGUUAUGACAUAUAACAUCCUUAUAGAUGGCUAUUGUAGAUUAGGUAAUUUAGGGGAGGCUAUGAGAUUCAAGGAGGAGAUGAGAGCAGAGUGCUGCCUGCCCGAUGUUUGUACAUAUACUAUUCUUAUGAAUGGGUCAUGUAAGGUCAAGAACAUUGCUCUGGUAAGGGUGUUCUUUGAUGAAAUGCUGAGUAAGGGUUUAAAGCCAGACUGCUUUGCUUACAACACAAGGAUUUCAGCAGAGCUGACUCUAGGUGCUAUUUCCGAUGCUUUUCAGUUGAGGGAGGAGAUGAUGCCGAGUGGAAUUUCUUCCGAUACAGUUACAUAUAAUAUUCUUAUUGAUGGACUGUGCAAGGCUGGUAGCCUGAAAGAUGCCUAUGUGUUGUGGAUGAAGAUGGUCAGUGAUGGUUUACAACUUGACUGUGUCACAUACACUUGCUUGAUUCAUGCACAUUGUAAGUGGGGGCUUCUAAGGAAAGCAAAUAAUAUUUUUCGUGGCAUGGUUGCAAGUGGUUUGUCACCCUCGGCUGUGACCUAUACCAUUUUUAUUCACACAUACUGUAGGGUGGGAGAUCUUGAUUCAGCAUAUGGCUGGUUCCGGAAGAUGCUGGAGGAAGGAGUGGAACCUAAUGAAGUAACAUAUAAUGUGCUCAUGAAUGCACUAUGCCGGAUAGGGAGAACUGAAUUGGCUUAUCAAUAUUUUCAUGAGAUGCUGGAGAGAGGAUUGGUGCCAAACAAAUACACAUACACUUUGUUGAUAGACGGGAACUGUAAAAAAGGUAACUGGGUGGAGGCUGUAAGGCUGUACUGUGAAAUGCAUCAGAAAGGUAUUCAUCCAGACCAUUGUACACAUAAUGCCCUGUUUAAGGGAUUUGGCGAAGAUCACAUGCACGACACAAUUCAGUACUUGGAGAAUGUUGUUUUGGGUGCAUAGGACGGUCUUCAAGAAAGGAUCGUCUUAGCCUUGCUUGGUGGAAAACUCUCAGAUGACAGAUGGAAUUUGGGGUGACACUCUGGAUAAAGGAGCUAUGUGAUUUCCAGACAGAUAACACAAACAGAUUGUGGAGCGGCUUGGCAGGAGGGGACUGCUGACCUACGGCAACUGCAUUCUGCUCAUUACACCGUGAAACCACCGAUCACCUUUUGACCGGUUGUGGAGGAAUUGCUGCCCUGGAGAGGUCUACAAGCCUGCACUCCAACGCUAGGGUGUGAAUUCGGUCCUUGGUGGAUUGAGAAACAUGAGGGGAUUCAACGCCUUUGUCCUGUUGAUAGCCUGGACAAUUUGGAUUUUUUUUUUCGAUAUGGUUUCCAGUGAAAAAGCCUAGCCUGUUAAGCAGCUAGUGAGGACAGUCAAAGGCUAUAAUGCGCUAGGUGGUGUGAGGCUGGCUAUAGCGAGAUGAGAAAGGCUGCUUGUUCGUGGUGGUUUAGCAGAAAUUAUUUAGCCUUCCCUAGCUAGCCAUGCUUCCGUACGGUCUGUUUUUUUUUUCUUUCUUUUACCCUUUCUUCCUGUGGCUUGAUUCAAUCCAAAUUCGCUAGUUUGUUGCUCGGUUUGGGCCAAAGUUUUAAGUGUUGUUUCCUAUCCUAAUAUAAUGUCAUGCAGGCCUACUGCAUGUUCUCUUAAAAAGAGAGAUUAGAUUUGCAGUGCAAACCUGUUUAAUUCACCUACAGUAUGUCUUUCGGCGACUCUUCGAAUGGUCAAAUUCCAUCCAACUUCUACUCCUAGAAACGUUCCACGAGAUUAGGAUGAUAAUCGUGUGCAUAAGCCUGGGGUCAUCUAUGUUGAUUAGUAUGCUGAUCCAGUGAAUUCUGAUAUCUGGACCAUCUGAUUUAUUUUCCUCCUGUUCUGUUUCUUCCGAAGUAAUUCUGAAAAAAUGAUUUGUUUUACCUUGCGGUACUUUCCUAUGGUUAUUCUGACGGGACCAAAUUCAUCCUUGAUACACAAAGAUAUUAUCCAACCUAUGCAUGUUUGAAUUUUAAUGUCCAGUACCUUUCCAUUUGUAAAGUUUAGGCACCUUGUCCGAUAUGUUAUGGUUUGAUGAAUUACUGCAUAGUCAUUUUGGAAGGGCAGUAAUUAUGUCAUGGUUGCAUAUGUCGAUAUUAACUACAUACCAUAUGAACAGAUGCUUUCUCUUAGGCCAACUACUCCCUCCGCUUGGGUUGAUAAGCCGGGCAUGGGUUUUUAGGUCAUCAAUUUGACUAUGAAAACAUGUAUUAUAUUCUAUAAAAAAAAAUACUCCCUCCGUCCCACAAUAUAAGAGCGUUUUUGACACUACACUAGUGUAAAAAAUGCUCUUAUAUUAUGGGACGGAGGGAGUAUAUCUUUAGAUUAGUUAGUUGUCAAAUGUAAUUUCUAACCAUAUAAUUUGUGUGGUAUAUUAUACAUGUUUUAUUAGUCAAAUUGAAGACCUAAAAAUCCGUGUCCGACUUGUAAACCCAACCGGAGGGAGUAUUUUCAGUUUGUACUUGAUCUUGGCUACAUUACAAUUUUUGAAUUAUGUGUUUACAUCGUCUUGAACAAAUAAUACAUCUUUUAUUAAAGCAAACGGGAGAAGAGUUAUGGGAAAAAUGCCCACUUGCUCAUUGUUAGAGGAGAUAUAUAUAUUUGCGAGAGAAGAGUUAUGGGCAGUUAUGGGCAAAAUGCCCACUUGUUCGUUGUUAAACAGGAGAAGAGUAGUACAUUUGCGAGUGUGCCUCAUGGGCAAACUAGGGUAGUAGAACUCAUGGGACUAUACAUGACACUCUAACAUUGCUUAUAUUUGAUAUACGCUAGCAAAACGGGAGAAGAGUUAUGGGCAAAAUGCCCACUUGUUCGUCGUCUGUUGUUAAACAGGAGAAGGGUAGUACAUUUGCGAGUGUGCCUCAUGGGCAAACUAGGGUAGUAGAACUCAUAGGCCUAUAUACGCUACACUCUAACAUUGCUUAUAUUUGAUACACGAUAGUAAACAACUAACUUUGUGUAUGAAAAAAAUCUAAAGUUCUUUUCUGAGUUUUAUCCUUAAAGUUUUGCAAUGUUCCUCUGCUUAGUGGUUCACCUAAUAAAAACAACGUGGCAGUGUAUGCAAGUGACAUGGCGGAAUUCAGAAUCAUCGAGCCUUUAACAUUCAUAUGAACAUUUGGUACUUCAUAUAUCUUCACUCAUGCCACACUAAUUCACUAGUAGUGCAUACUGCACAUAGUUCACUCAAGUUUCUAAUCCACUCAGGUUGUCAUAAUCUUCCCUGCUUGAUAUUUUGUUUCUCAAGGAAACACAAAAGUUAUGCGUCUCGAUGCAUUGAUGGAAGAAGAGAGUUUAUAUAUAUUCCUUGGACUAGGCCACAACACACGCACGCUGCUGCAGUACAAGGUGGAUUAACCUCUGUAAAGAUGAAGCAUAAUGCUACCACACCCGCAGAAACACAGUUCCUGCCCUCAGAUUUUAUCUUGUUUAUUAAGUCUCCCAAGUCUUGUUUGCACCAUCGAAGAUCAUACAUAUGAUAUGACCUCAUGCCAGCUUCGGCUAGCAAACAAGCAUUCAACAAGCAGGUCGCAUAGCAUGCAGGCCGCUGCAUGUGGCAGGCCCUUUGAUUUAUUUACUCUCUUGUUGAAUUGCAUCUCUAAGCCUUCAUUAAAUCAUUUGUUUGGAACACUGUGUAUGUCUAUUUUGUGUUCCCUAAAGAAAACAAGUAUUGAGUACAUGAAUGCUGUUUAUGCUAUUGUGAAUUUGGUUUCCGUCAUUUGAUUUAUCAAAAUUCAGUUAACUUCUUUAUUGGGAUUAUGUUUUUAUUAUGUUGGCUUUCGAUAUAUGUAUGUAAUACGAUUGCAGGCUACUUGAUUGAGUUCGGUAUUUCAUAUGGCACAUGAGUCUUGUAGCCUAGUGCAUGGCAGAAAUAAAAUUUUGGGUGUGCACAUGGAAAUACUAUGGACUAAUUUUCCAGGGUGAAUCACUAAUGCCAAAUUUAUCCCAAAAGUUGGGAAUUGAGUUAGUAAUUUAAUUUUGCAGGCAGAAACCCUUUAAUAGUUUAUGUUCAGAAUUUGUGGCAUCAUCUAUGUGCGCUUCAGUGUUUCUUUGCCUCUGCUUUACACACAAGAAAUUUCCAUGAGGUUUCAAAUACUGGUAAUCUUUUACCAUGCAACUACCCCCUCUGUAAAGUAACACUACUUUAGUGAUCUAAACGCUCUUAUAUUAGUUUACAGAGGGAGCACUUUUUAUAGGUGUUGUUUAAAAAAAAAGCAUUCAUUGGUUUAUUAAAAUUAUUUUUGUUUAUUCUCCUGUUUGUUGAGAAUUUCACAUUGACUUGAAAGCUGAAUCACAUGCAUGCUUAUUGUUGCAUAAGCAUUACGAGCAAGCGGGCUGCUUUCUUAAUACAUGACUCGAAACAUGAUUUUAUCCUUUAGCAAAUGAAAUGUUUGCAGUAAAUGAAGUAUUAGGCAGACAAAUAUUGAAAUAAUUUACUCUGAUAUUUGGUUAACAUGGUGAACAAAGAAAGAAGUGACUUACUAUAUCUUAAUGAUGAAUUUUUGUAGUAUCUUGUUUGGUUAUACUUAUCAGAAGGUUUAUUUAUGGGGGGGAAUAACUAAUAAGAGGAGUUCAGAUUUUGUUGCUCAGGAUGACUUGUUUUUUCCUUGUCGUGAAGACCAUGAAUAUCAUUGUAAGGUUGUGUUUUCUGAUGAAUGUUAGUCAUGAUGUUAGAACACUAGGUGCUGCAUGUUUUGUUCCCUACAGUGAUAUGAAAUCACAUGUUCGUUGGUUGCAAUGAAAACUGGAAUCCAUCUAUGCAAUUAAUAAAUCCUGAUGUGCCUUCAUGAUUUUCUCAUAUGGUAUGUUCUCUAAGAAAAGGAAAAUUGUCAUGCUCUUCAUGAUUUUAUCUAGAACAUAACUCGAGAUUGUCCAGAGUUCCAUUCUUUUGUCAGAUUUUUAAAAUUCUGCCAUCAAUGUUAUCUGCAAGAGGUAGCAUUACAUUUACUCUUAUUAAUUCAGUAUUUUUUAUGACUUGUGAUUCAUAAAAUAUCGAGAGUAUGUUAUCUAAAAAACAAGCAACAAGGUUUCACAUAUUGUAAUUUCAAUGUACUGGAGAACAAUAGCUUGAAGUUAGCAAGUGAAGUAUGAUCUAUCAUCUGUUGAAUUGGACAAAUUUGGUGUCCCAAGGGAUAAAACUUGGGGGGAAAAAGUUAGUAGCAUCUGCACUGCCCAGCAGCAGCUCGAAGAUGAAUCUUUAGUCACAUAGGUGAUGCCUCUUCUCCUACCAAGAGUGCCUUGAUAAUUUUAUCAGUCCAUCCGUCCACCAGCAUGAACAUAUGUCCACCUUCUUGGACUUCAUGAUACUGGAUCCAUGGAAGCUUCUUUGAAAGGUACCGCUGCAGCUCAACCAGCACCAACCUAUCUUCAUAUCCUUGCCAGAUGUGUACAGAACCCUCAUUUGUAGGAAAUGGAUUUGUAAUAUUCAUUAGAUCGAACUCCCAAUUCCCAAAAGCAACAAGUAAAUCUCGAUGGAUUGAUUCAUAAAUUCCUUGCUGCCUUGAUUUAUUCUAAAAAAGGAAGGCCAAAUUAGCAUUAUCAACAAAUCUGAACAAGGGGUAGUUAGUGUAUAUUUCCUGAAAAUUUACAUUUAUAUUAUACUAUUAUUGUUCUCUACGGUGGGCAUAGCAAGGAAACAGCAACUCCUAGGAUUUUAGUGUUCAUCGCAGAAAGGAGUCUAGUGUUGCACUUGUAUAUCUGUAUUUCAAGUGUUCCAUAAGCAGAAUUUCACGUGGUUGAAGUAUUUGUGACAUUUAUAACCGAGGCAUAAUUGUGAUUUGAUUUACCUCAAUGGUUCUUGGCAUUGCCAUCAUUUUCUGAAUCACCUCCAUAUCAUGGUCGCUAAAUAUUUCAGGAUGAUGCAUGGCUGCCGCAGAAGAAGGGAGCCAUUUCUGGGUCAUCCACAAGUAUAAAAAGUAAGGUGCAUUGUGUGCGAUCCAGAGGGUCCUCUGCUCUGGUACAAUGAGCUUCUUGAAAGCCUGCCUGGACACCUCUGGCGGGAAAGAAGGCCACCAGUAAUUGAUAACUGGUACAACUAGCGCGGCUCCUGUGAGCCUGCAUCGAUAGCAAAUUGUAGCUUUUACAACUCUGAAGAGUUUCAUAUUUCAUGAAGAUACAUAUGGCUGGAGUUUCUUUCUUUGCCUGUGAGGUAUAUACUGGAGGCAACCCCAAACUGUGUAUCCUCCCAUGGAGACACCCAAGACAUGGAACUUCUGUCCAAGCUCCAGCUGGUCGGCGAGCUCCUCUAUAUCCAAGGCUUCACUUUUGACACUCCGACCGGGGUUUGGGUCACUUUCCCCGUACCCUGCUCUAUCAAAUGCAAGGAGGUGAGGGGAAGUCCUUGGUGCUAUCAAAUGCGUGCACUGUGAUGAUCUUGUACUUGGCCUUGUCUCUCUGCACACCGUCUUCCCGGUAUGCGAGGUACCUCCCAUCCCUGAGCUUGAUCCUGGGAGAUGUCACCGGAGGUCCACCCGCCGAGCCGCAACGUUUUGUAGGUGGUGGCCGGAGAAUGGCCUGGAAGGCCAAACCAAGCAGCACCACUGGAAGAACGACGAGCAAUCUUCGAGCCAUUCUUCCCAGAUCCAGUGCUUUCGGUGUCAGUUGUGGAGGUUUAUGCGUGGCGGGGGCAAAGCUGCAAUGUGGGCUGCUCUUUUACUCCACUCCACCGGUAGUGUGUGCGCAUCAUUGCACGGACGGGACCCCCUGACCCUGGCCUCUUUCUUUGUUUGCCUCCACUACUCUGGCUUGUUGCUGACUGUGUAAACAAAUAAUUAUCAUCAUCACACCCACAUGGUCCUUGAUGACCUAUAUCUAUUUCCCCACAUCA